rnacentral:rRNA from 1 species
GGGUUGUGAGGUUAAGCGACUAAGCGUACACGGUGGAUGCCCUGGCAGUCAGAGGCGAUGAAGGACGUGCUAAUCUGCGAAAAGCGUCGGUAAGGUGAUAUGAACCGUUACAGCCGGCGAUGUCCGAAUGGGGAAACCCAGUGCAAUUCGUUGCACUAUCGUUAACUGAAUACAUAGGUUAACGAGGCGAACCGGGGGAACUGAAACAUCUAAGUACCCCGAGGAAAAGAAAUCAACCGAGAUUCCCCCAGUAGCGGCGAGCGAACGGGGAGCAGCCCAGAGUCUGAAUCAGCUUGUGUGUUAGUGGAACGGUCUGGAAAGUCCGACGGUACAGGGUGAUAGUCCCGUACACCAAAAUGCACAGGUUGUGAACUCGAAGAGUAGGGCGGGACACGUGGUAUCCUGUCUGAAUAUGGGGGGACCAUCCUCCAAGGCUAAAUACUCCUGACUGACCGAUAGUGAACCAGUACCGUGAGGGAAAGGCGAAAAGAACCCCGGCGAGGGGAGUGAAAAAGAACCUGAAACCGUGUACGUACAAGCAGUGGGAGCACCUUCGGGUGUGACUGCGUACCUUUUGUAUAAUGGGUCAGCGACUUAUAUUCUGUAGCAAGGUUAACCGUAUAGGGGAGCCGCAGGGAAACCGAGUCUUAACUGGGCGUUAAGUUGCAGGGUAUAGACCCGAAACCCGGUGAUCUAGCCAUGGGCAGGUUGAAGGUUGGGUAACACUAACUGGAGGACCGAACCGACUAAUGUUGAAAAAUUAGCGGAUGACUUGUGGCUGGGGGUGAAAGGCCAAUCAAACCGGGAGAUAGCUGGUUCUCCCCGAAAGCUAUUUAGGUAGCGCCUCGUGAAUUCAUCUUCGGGGGUAGAGCACUGUUUCGGCUAGGGGGUCAUCCCGACUUACCAACCCGAUGCAAACUACGAAUACCGAAGAAUGUUAUCACGGGAGACACACGGCGGGUGCUAACGUCCGUCGUGAAGAGGGAAACAACCCAGACCGCCAGCUAAGGUCCCAAAGUCAUGGUUAAGUGGGAAACGAUGUGGGAAGGCACAGACAGCCAGGAUGUUGGCUUAGAAGCAGCCAUCAUUUAAAGAAAGCGUAAUAGCUCACUGGUCGAGUCGGCCUGCGCGGAAGAUGUAACGGGGCUAAACCAUGCACCGAAGCUGCGGCAGCGACACUAUGUGUUGUUGGGUAGGGGAGCGUUCUGUAAGCCUGCGAAGGUGUGCUGUGAGGCAUGCUGGAGGUAUCAGAAGUGCGAAUGCUGACAUAAGUAACGAUAAAGCGGGUGAAAAGCCCGCUCGCCGGAAGACCAAGGGUUCCUGUCCAACGUUAAUCGGGGCAGGGUGAGUCGACCCCUAAGGCGAGGCCGAAAGGCGUAGUCGAUGGGAAACAGGUUAAUAUUCCUGUACUUGGUGUUACUGCGAAGGGGGGACGGAGAAGGCUAUGUUAGCCGGGCGACGGUUGUCCCGGUUUAAGCAUGUAGGCUGGUUAUCCAGGCAAAUCCGGAUAAUCAAGGCUGAGGUGUGAUGACGAGGUACUACGGUGCUGAAGUAACAAAUGCCCUGCUUCCAGGAAAAGCCUCUAAGCAUCAGGUAACAUCAAAUCGUACCCCAAACCGACACAGGUGGUCAGGUAGAGAAUACCAAGGCGCUUGAGAGAACUCGGGUGAAGGAACUAGGCAAAAUGGUGCCGUAACUUCGGGAGAAGGCACGCUGGUGUGUAGGUGAAGUCCCUGCGGAUGGAGCUGAGACCAGUCGAAGAUACCAGCUGGCUGCAACUGUUUAUUAAAAACACAGCACUGUGCAAACACGAAAGUGGACGUAUACGGUGUGACGCCUGCCCGGUGCCGGAAGGUUAAUUGAUGGGGUUAUCCGUAAGGAGAAGCUCUUGAUCGAAGCCCCGGUAAACGGCGGCCGUAACUAUAACGGUCCUAAGGUAGCGAAAUUCCUUGUCGGGUAAGUUCCGACCUGCACGAAUGGCGUAAUGAUGGCCAGGCUGUCUCCACCCGAGACUCAGUGAAAUUGAACUCGCUGUGAAGAUGCAGUGUACCCGCGGCAAGACGGAAAGACCCCGUGAACCUUUACUAUAGCUUGACACUGAACAUUGAGCCUUGAUGUGUAGGAUAGGUGGGAGGCUUUGAAGCGUGGACGCCAGUCUGCGUGGAGCCAACCUUGAAAUACCACCCUUUAAUGUUUGAUGUUCUAACGUUGGCCCCUUACCGGGGUUGCGGACAGUGUCUGGUGGGUAGUUUGACUGGGGCGGUCUCCUCCCAAAGCGUAACGGAGGAGCACGAAGGUUAGCUAAUCCUGGUCGGACAUCAGGAGGUUAGUGCAAUGGCAUAAGCUAGCUUGACUGCGAGCGUGACGGCGCGAGCAGGUGCGAAAGCAGGUCAUAGUGAUCCGGUGGUUCUGAAUGGAAGGGCCAUCGCUCAACGGAUAAAAGGUACUCCGGGGAUAACAGGCUGAUACCGCCCAAGAGUUCAUAUCGACGGCGGUGUUUGGCACCUCGAUGUCGGCUCAUCACAUCCUGGGGCUGAAGUAGGUCCCAAGGGUAUGGCUGUUCGCCAUUUAAAGUGGUACGCGAGCUGGGUUUAGAACGUCGUGAGACAGUUCGGUCCCUAUCUGCCGUGGGCGCUGGAGAAUUGAGGGGGGCUGCUCCUAGUACGAGAGGACCGGAGUGGACGCAUCACUGGUGUUCGGGUUGUCAUGCCAAUGGCACUGCCCGGUAGCUAAAUGCGGAAGAGAUAAGUGCUGAAAGCAUCUAAGCACGAAACUUGCCCCGAGAUGAGUUCUCCCUGAGACUUUAAGUCUCCUGAAGGAACGUUAAAGACGAUGACGUUGAUAGGCCGGGUGUGUAAGCGCAGCGAUGCGUUGAGCUAACCGGUACUAAUGAACCGUGAGGCUUAACCUUACAACGCCGAAG